CGUACUGACGGCGAUGGAACCCGCCUAACGCCGCCGAACGAACGGCUGAUGGUUCCUACCAUUUC
rnacentral:ncRNA from 2 species